UCCCUGGUGGUCUAGUGGUUAAGACUCCAUGCUUCUACUGCAAAGGGCACAGGUUCAAUGCCUGAUUAGGGAA
rnacentral:tRNA from 1 species